rnacentral:rRNA from 1 species
UACGAAGGGGGCUAGCGUUGUUCGGAAUUACUGGGCGUAAAGCGUGCGCAGGCGGCUUCUCAAGUCAGGGGUGAAAGGCCCAGAGCUCAACUCUGGAAUUGCCUUUGAGACUGAGUGGCUUGAGUACGAGAGAGGUGAGUGGAAUUCCCAGUGUAGAGGUGAAAUUCGUAGAUAUUGGGAAGAACACCGGUGGCGAAGGACGG